GCCUCCUCGGUGGUGUAGUGGUGGAGCGCGCGUCCCAGGAUAGGAUGAAACGCGGGUUCGAUGCCCGCCUGAGGCU